CGCAGCGUCCAGCCUGCCGCUAAUCCGUUAGUAGAAGAAGAAGAGCGGAAGCUGCUAACUGUUAGCACCUCUGCUAACGUGCUGCGUUCAGGGUCCGUUUCAGACACUCUGCGCUGUCCGCACGUGAAACUACUCGGAGUUUAUCUGCCGCUUCUUUCCCGCGUUUCAUAUUCUGUCGUCUGGGCGCAGCAGCGAUGCCGUGGCGGUGCUGCGUCCCCGGCUGUAAAGGCUACGAGGAGGCCAAGUCCAGGGGGGUCGUGUUUCACGGGCUACCGACGCGGGACCCGCAGCGCUGCAGGACCUGGCUGAAGGCGAUCCAGAACCCGAGGUUCGACGAGGACACGCCCGUCUCCAAGUACAGCGGGGUCCGGGUGUGCAGCCUGCACUUUAAACCCGAGGACUACGAGGAGGACUUCCGAGCCAAGAUCCUGAACGUCACGCCCAAACCGACGCUGAAGAGCGGCGCCGUGCCGUCCGUGUUCCCCGGGAGGCAGCGCGGCCAGCCGGGCAGCAGCGACGCGUCCCCGCCGCCGCCGCCCAAGAGGAGCAGAGCGCAGACGGCCUGCGGAGCUGCAGGGAGUUCCUCGCAAUCCGCCCCGGCGGCGGCGGCAGACGAAAGCUUCUGCAUCGUGGUGUCGGUCGACCCGCAGGAGGACCGCUUCCACUCAGAGCCGGAGUUCAGCUCGGUGGCGGCGUCUGACGAGUCUGACGAGGACGAGGACUGCGCCGUCGUUUACAGCCGCAGCCUGAUGGAGCUCUUCAGGAUGUGUCAGACGUGCGGGCGGCCAAUCGUGGAGAAGGAGCUUUUCCACUCGGGCGCACAGAUGAGGGUGAAGUGGCGCUGUGACGGAGGACACUCUGGGCUGUGGAAGUCCUCGCCUCACCUGAGAGACGUGCUUCCAUGAAGUCCAUUUGCAGAGUUUGAGAACAUUUGGUGAGGUUCAGAUUCAGCAGGACUCUGUGCUGCCUCGUCACGUCGGACUCCAGGACCCGGUCCAGACUGGUGCAGCUCUGUGCUUUUCUUUAGACACGAGCCAAUCCGCUUCACUAGAGGACUACCUGAGCUGGCGGGCCAUGGACUAAAACCCGACGUGGCUACCCCAACAUACAGCGCAGCGGGAAGAAGGACUUUCCGGACGACAGUUUAACAUCCGGCGCACAGCAGAAGGCGAGCCGGAGGAGAGACGUGCGGAAGAUCCACGCGGGUGAAUGAACCCCAUCUAUGGAUCCCAGUCCAACAGGAAGUGGCGUUGAUCAACAGCGAUGGCGCGCCCUCAUCCAGCAGAGCCACGGCGGCGGCCUGCAGCAGCUUCAUGAAGAAGCCCAGCGACAAACAGACUGGUUGUGAACGAUGCGUCCAGAUUAUCAGCGUGUCUGAAGAAUACUUUUUAAACACACGAGGGGUUCAGUGUUUUGCUCAGGGACACAGUGGGAAUUGAACCCGGGUCUCUUGCAUGCGUCUUAUCCACUGCGUCCCCAAUAAAGCCUCGAUGUGA